AAUAAACCAAUUUUUCACUUUUUACCUAUAAUUUUUAACUCUUCGUCUUAUUCAAAAAAUUUUUUUGAUUGAUAUUUUUGUUUUUAUUAGAUGAUAAAUCAUAAAUAGUACUUUAUAUGUGACUAAUUAUUUUUAAAUUUUUUAAAAGAUUUUUAAAUAAAAUAUAUGGUCAAAUAUUGGACACGAGAACCGGAGGUAGUAGCUUACU
rnacentral:pre_miRNA from 1 species